GGGUAUAGCUCAGUGGUAGAGUAUAUGCCUAGCAUGCACGAGGGUCCUGGGUUCAAUCCCCAGUACCUCCA
rnacentral:tRNA from 1 species